rnacentral:rRNA from 13 species
CACUGUCCCUAUCUACUGUCUAGCGAAACCACAGCCAAGGGAACGGGCUUGGAAUAGUCAGCGGGGAAAGAAGACCCUGUUGAGCUUGACUCUAGUCUGAGAUUGUGAAACGACUUAUGAGGUGUAGCAUAAGUGGGAGCUCCGGCGCACGUGAAAUACCACUACUCGUAAUGUUGUUUUACUUAUUCUAUUAAGCGGAAGCUUGCGCUCUUCGAGUAGCAAGUUUUGGAUUUACAGUUGGUGCUUGCACCGACCUAUCCGUGUAGAUGACAUUCUCAGGUGGGGAGUUUGGCUGGGGCGGCACAUCUGUUAAAUGAUAACGCAGGUGUCCUAAGGUGAGCUCAGUGAGAACAGAAAUCUCACGUAGACCAAAAGGGGAAAAGCUCGCUUGAUUUUGGUUUUCAGUACGAACACAAACUGCGAAAGCAUGGCCUAUCGAUCCUUUAGGUCUGUGAAAUAUACAGCUAGAGGUGUCAGAAAAGUUACCACAGGGAUAACUGGCUUGUGG